UACAGAGGUCUCAACCGUUGUUCGGAUUCAUUGGGCGUAAAGGGUGCGUAGGCGGUCGCGCAAGUCGGAUGUGAAAUCUUAGGGCUCAACCCUGAAACUGCAUUCGAUACUGCGUGGCUAGAGUACUGGAGAGGAGACUGGAAUUUACGGUGUAGCAGUGAAAUGCGUAGAUAUCAGGAGGAACACCGGUGGCGAAGGCGGGUCUCUGGGCCGAAAUUGACGCUGAGGAGCGAAAGCGUGGGGAGCAAACAGG
rnacentral:rRNA from 1 species